rnacentral:tRNA from 17 species
UGGGACGUGGACAAGUGGUAAGUCACCUGGUUUUGGUCCAGGCAUUCGAGGGUUCGAAUCCUUCCGUCCCAG